AUGGAGUUCGACCACGCCAUCGCGACCGUGGUCAUGCCAGCACACUUGUCGGCAUACAAAAAGGGAUGGCGCCUCGAGAGGGAGUUCACUUGGGAGGAAAUCGUCGAAGCUAUCAACCACUCACCAAACAACCGCAACCCUGGCCCGGAUGGCUUCACUAAUGAGUUUUAUAAAGUCUUUCACGGUGUUAUUAAAACUGACUUGCAACUCUUCUUCUCCCAAUUCUAUCAGAAUCAGCUGGACAUGUCUGGCAUUAACCUGGCUCACAUCUCCCUCCUGCCCAAGAAGGAAACCCCGCUUGAGCUCAAGGACUUCAGGCCAAUCUCUAGUACACAGCGUGCCCAAACUUGCAAGCAAAGUACUGACCAGGAGGCUUCAAACUCAGAUCCCCGGUCUAAUUCACUCCCUGCAAUCCGGUUUUAUCAAGGGUCGGGCCAUUGUGGAAAACUUUGCUUUGGCUGCAGACAUGAUCCAAGCGGCACAUAA
rnacentral:rRNA from 1 species